UGUACUUGUUGUCAAUAAUUUGCUGACAAGUGAAUUAAUGUUACAUUUCAGUAUCAAUCAACAUUGUUUUGUCUUGGAGCUCAACCCUGUGUUUUCAGGGCGCACCUUUUCUGUCACAGAUGGUGCAGGCUGGGCAUCAGUUUCUCUCAUGUAGGUAAGUACUGCAGGGCCUUUGCUACAUUUCCAUCACUUGAUGUUCUCUCGCAUCAUCCUUUUUUGUAUGCUACACAAAAUUGGAUACCAUUGCUUAUGCAACAACCCAGUUAGUGAAUGUGCAGGUGCGGUCAACUAAACCUAGCCAUUUGGAUUGACAAGAGCUCAGUUCAGGUGAUGUAUAGAAGAACUAUUACAAUAAGAGGACAAAGCAAUCAAGUUGGGAGAAACCUGCUUUUUGUGUUGAUGACACCUUUCGAGGUAGAUGUGCGUGAGGGAACGUCCAUUGGUCUGUACGAGAAGAGUGGGAUGUCAGCCGUUGUGCUGAGGAGGGAGUGGUCGACCUGUUCGUGCUGGCACCAGAGACUUAGCCAUCCUGCAUCACGCUCGACCAUGUUGUCCUGGUCGUGUCUGUCGUCCUCUUCCGCCCCCUGAUUUGGAUUGAACCUAAAGGUCCUCAACAUCUCACUCUUUUUUAGGAAACUGAGAGAUGUGCAUGUGCACAAUAUAUUUGCUCAGCUCAGCGUGGUCUCAAGUAACGUCGUGUGGCAUGCUUAUGGCUUCUUGACUUCUUCUUCCGCUCUGACGCCUCCUUCCCCGCCCCUCUGGUGGCCUCGAUUCUUCUUCCAAUCCAGAAUAGUUUGUGUAUCAACCAACAUUGUUUCGUCUUGGAGCUCAAUACUGGGUUUUCAGGGUGCACCUCUUGUGUCACCGAUGGUGCAGGCUGGGCAUCAGUCUCAUGUAGGUGCACUCAACUGAACCUAGCUAUUUGGAAUGGCAAGAGCACAAUUCAGGGGAUGGAAAGAA